UUUGAAACACUCUUCAACAACGUGCAUCUAUAUAUGAAGACCACCAUUGAGAGUGUUUUGUGGGCUUUCAAAUGAGCAGAUCCAAGAUCCCACAAUUUCCACCUUCAUUCUUUAAUGAUCAUCAGGCUAAACAUGUGUUUUUGACUUGAAUCCAACGGCUAUGGUUUCUUAUUAUGAUACAACAUGUGAUCAGAAGGUAGAAGAAAACUCUCUCUUGUAGCUCAAUAUGCCUUCAUAGGUUUUCUUAACAGGCAGACAGAGUGGAGCCAGGCAAUUAAUUAACCUUUUUUUUUUUUGUUUUGAAUCUUUAAAUAUAAAGAUAUAUACUUUCUUGAUGUUUUUGUUGAGGUAGAAAACUAGAAAUACAUAUGUAUGUAUAGAUAUGUUAAUGAUUUUAUGUAUGGUGAACAAGAAGAUUAAUCUAACAUGUUCGUAUGUUCAAUCUGGAGUUCAUUUCUCUAAUGGCUUUCUCUUUUGGAAUUAUAAACGAUGA
rnacentral:lncRNA from 1 species